UGAACUUAAGCAUAUCAAUAAGCGGAGGAAAAGAAACUAACAAGGAUUCCCCUAGUAACGGCGAGUGAAGAGGGAAAAGCCCAAGUUUGAAAGCUGACACCUUCGGUGUCCGCAUUGUAAACUCGAGAAGUGUUAUCCGCGCCGGACCAGACUUUAAAUCCUUUGGAAUAAGGUACCUUAGAGGGUGAUAGUCCCUUUCAUAGUCUGGAACCCCCGGGGCUUUGUGAUGCGCUCUCCAAGAGUCGAGUUGUUUGGGAAUGCAGCUCAAAAUGGGUGGUAAAUGCCAUCUAAGGCUAAAUAUAGAGGAGAGACCGAUAGCGAACAAGUACCGUGAGGGAAAGAUGAAAAGAACUUUGGAAAGAGAGUUAAACAGUACGUGAAAUUGCCGGAAGGGAAGGGUAGGAAGUCAGAUAUGUCUUAAUUGAUUCAACUUGGCCUUUCGAGGUUGGGUGUAUUUCAAUUACGGACAGGCCAGCAUCGAUUUUAGCUGCCGGAUAUUGGUAGAAGGAAUGUGGCAUCUUUUUCGGAAGGUGUGUUAUAGCCUUUUACUUGGUACGGCGGCCGGGAUCGAGGAACGCAGUGCACCCUUUUGGGCGGGCCUUCGGGCACCUUUGCACAUAGGAUGUUGGCUUAAUGGCUUUCUGCCACCCGUCUUGAAACACGGACCA
rnacentral:rRNA from 1 species